rnacentral:lncRNA from 1 species
UGCUACAGGACUAAAGUUGGAGUCACAUGGUUUCAAAGUUUGUGGAAAGUUUUUUCUCCUUUUUUAUGUCCUGUGUGUGUGUCAAGGUUUCAGAUGCGAGUCCUUCAAAGCAUCAGACUGCGUCUCCCUUCAGCUGGUGUGGAGCUCAUUUUCCAACUUCUUUCACAAAAUUGAUGUUGAAAAAUAAAAAGAAGCUCAUAAGAGAAAAUGCUGGUGGAUUUUCUGAUGUGUCUGGAGCCUCUCAGGUAAGCUUGUUAAGGUGUUCUUUGAUCAAUCUUCUUUUUUUUUUUUUUUUUUCAGAUUUUUUUUUUUAAAGAUUUUUUUUAUUUUUAUUUUUCCUUUUUCUCCCCAAAGCCUCCCGUACAUAGUUGUAUAUUCUUCGUUGUGGGUCCUUCUAGUUGUGGCAUGUGGGACGCUGCCUCAGCGUGGUCUGAUGAGCAGUGCCAUGUCCGCGCCCAGGAUUCGAACCAACGAAACACUGGGCCGCCUGCAGCAGAGCGUGCGAACUUAACCACUCGGCCACGGGGCCAGCCCCUGAUCAAUCUUCUUUUGAUUACUGACAAUCAAAUCUUGCAGAAAGUCAGCUUGUGCCUUCUAUAUGUGGUAUAAUGUGAUAGCUAUAUAAGAUUCUGUGAAAGAGAUAGGGACAGAGAGAGGUAGCAUUUGGGGAAAGUACAGAGAGGAAAAAAAUAAUUUAAUGGUAAGGAUGUCUUAGAGGUGAUCAAAAGUUUGUGAGAAAAUAUAUUCGUCUAGAUUUCUCUGGAACUUGAUGACCGGAAUGGCUUAAAGUAAAACAACCAACUGAAAAGAAGUAGGAUUGCUAGUUGGCUGCCGUGGGCCAGGGCUGCUUUAGACUCUGGGGAAACCUCAAGAAACUUAAAAUACAGGGUGUCUGUCUUGCUGGGGCUUCUGGUCCAGCAGAAGAGUUUACGUGUGUAGCUCAAGUAAUUGAUGUGUUGAAGAAACACUAUUCCUGACAGCACCAAAUACAGUGCACGUUUCCCUCAUUGUUCUUGUGAGCUUUAUUCACUGGGGCCGAUGUCCUUGACUUCUGGAUAAAAACUGACAGGUCCCCUGGCUCUUCUGCCCAUUCUCAGAUGAUACAAAAGAUCCCCUGCUCAAUAUGUCACAGAAAGAAUCUCAUUUCAGCACUUAAAAUGUCUUGUCCCAUGCAGUAGUCAAAAAUUAACCUUAACUUAGCUACACUUCAUUCCGCCUCCCCCUAGGGCCUGCCUGCAGCCAGACUGAGAAGUCUUUCUGUUCUCCACUUCCUCUGCUCCCUCCCCAUUUCACUAACCCCUGCCACCAUUGUAA